ensembl:lncRNA
GAAUCUUUACUAAAAAAAUCAAAUGUAAUAACAAAAUAAUUUUUGACAAAAUUAAGUGUAUAAAACAUUUCUCACAUUUUAAUAGUUUUACUGGAGUGUUAUGUGACCUUGUGUACUCAAAGUUUAUGUCAAAUCUACAAUGAAGACUAAUCGUGUAAAUGUUCUGUUUAAUCUACAGAGUACCACAAAGUUUCAGAAGAAAAAGCAUAUUUUUGUUUUUAAGUUGGUGAGCAUAGAACAGACCUUUUUGUGUUUCCUGGAGCCGUGAAGAACCAGACAAACAAACUACUUUUGAAACAGCAGAAGUUGUUUAACAGGUACCAUGAGUGAACCAGCGGAGAAAACCGAAACUUCUCAGUCCUCAAAUGAUGGUCUGCUUGAAGAACAUGACAAGUGCAACCAACCUCAGAGAAUUGAAGUGGAAAGAGAAGAUUCUUCAUCAAACUUUCUGUCAGGGAGAAGUAACACAUCCAUGGAUUUUCCACUCAAUUUUAAAGAAGAGAAAGGAUCACAAAUGUAAAUCAACACAACAUUUAGACAUUUAAUUCACACCACUAUCUUCUCACUCUAAUCAGAAAUUUGAAAAUCAUACUGAUAAAAACUUGGGUCCAAAGAAAAGUGUAAAGUUUUUGAUUUCUUUGAUUAAAAAAAUAAUUCCAAAAACUGACCUUCUUUUAGUGUCUGCACAGUGUGCGUGCAAUGAGUUACAAUAGAAGCUGUAAUAAUGUGUUAUAAGAACUAAACUCUUCGAAAGUUUGACUUGCUGUGUAUAUGAGUGACUUUUAAAAUCUCUUUUAAUCUUUGAAUGAAAACAUACAUGUCUGUUAUUCUUCUGUUCUGCAUAGUUUAAUUAUUUCACUGCUCUGACACAUUUGACUCAUACUGAUAAAAACUUGGGUCCAAAGAAAAGUGAAAACCUUUUGAUUUCUUUGAUUAAAAAUAUAUUUUUUUAAGAUCAUUCCAAACAUUCAUCAAACUUGGUAUCUAAAGAGAAUUAUCAAUAUUUUCAAUUGUUUGUUGAUUUAAUUGUUUU